GGGAAAGAUGAGACCUUUGGUUCUCAAAAACAAGCCCCCAAGAUGGCACGAACAACUGCAAUGUUGGUGCCUCAACUUUCGUGGGCGGGUAACCGUUGCAUCGGUUAAGAACUUUCAGUUAAUUGCAGCAAUACAGCCAGCUGCUGGCGCUCCAACCCCGUCUCAACCAGGCCCACCCGAGCACGACAAGAUCAUUCUUCAGUUC
rnacentral:misc_RNA from 1 species